rnacentral:snoRNA from 1 species
GUGUCACAUGAUGUGCUGAUUGUUCAAUUCCUUUACCUGCACCGUGAUGAACAUUCCCAAGCUGAUG